rnacentral:rRNA from 1 species
UACGUAGGGUGCAAGCGUUAUCCGGAAUUAUUGGGCGUAAAGAGCUCGUAGGCGGUUUGUCACGUCUGCUGUGAAAACUGGAGGCUCAACCUCCAGCCUGCAGUGGGUACGGGCAGACUAGAGUGCGGUAGGGGAGAUUGGAAUUCCUGGUGUAGCGGUGGAAUGCGCAGAUAUCAGGAGGAACACCGAUGGCGAAGGCAGAUCUCUGGGCCGUAACUGACGCUGAGGAGCGAAAGCAUAGGGAGCGAACAGG